rnacentral:rRNA from 1 species
UACGUAGGGUGCGGGCGUAAUCGGAAUUACUGGGCGUAAAGCGUGCGCAGGCGGCCUCUUAAGUCAGAUGUGAAAUCCCCGGGCUUUAACCUGGGGAACUGCGUUUGAAACUGGGGAGGCUAGAGUGUGGAAGAGGGGGGUGGAAUUCCAGGUGUAGCAGUGAAAUGCGUAGAUAUCAUUUGGAACGCCAAUGGUGAAAACAGGUUGCUGGGAGUGUGCUGACGCUGAGACACGAAAGCCAGGGGAGCGAACGGG